rnacentral:rRNA from 1 species
CCUACGGGGGGCAGCAGUGGGGAAUAUUGGGCAAUGGGCGCAAGCCUGACCCAGCAACGCCGCGUGAAGGAAGAAGGUUUUCGGGUUGUAAACUUCUUUUCUCAGGGACGAAGCAAGUGACGGUACCUGAGGAAUAAGCCACGGCUAACUACGGGCCAGCAGCCGCGGUAAUACGUAGGUGGCAAGCGUUAUCCGGAUUUACUGGGUGUAAAGGGCGGGUAGGCGGGACGGCAAGUCAGAUGUGAAAACCAUGGGCUCAACCUAUGGCCUGCCUUUGAAACUGUAGUUCUUGAGUACUGGAGAGGAAGACGGAAUUCCUAGUGUAGCGGUGAAAUGCGUAGAUAUUAGGAGGAACACCAGUGGCGAAGGCGGUCUGCUGGCCAGCAACUGACGCUGAGGCGCGAAAGCGUGGGGAGCAAACAGGAUUAGAUACCCCAGUAGUC